UACGUAGGGUGCGAGCGUUGUCCGGAUUUAUUGGGCGUAAAGAGCUCGUAGGCGGCUUGUCGCGUCGUCCGUGAAAACUUGGGGCUCAACCCCAAGCUUGCGGUCGAUACGGGCAGGCUAGAGUUCGGUAGGGGAGACUGGAAUUCCUGGUGUAGCGGUGAAAUGCGCAGAUAUCAGGAGGAACACCGGUGGCGAAGGCGGGUCUCUGGGCCGGUAUUGACGCUGAGGCGCGAAAGCCAGGGGAGCAAACGGG
rnacentral:rRNA from 1 species